AUGGGCAAAUCAGAUGAAAGUCUGAGACGCAAAGCUACAGGGCCUGUAAAAUGGCAGCCAGCUGC
rnacentral:ncRNA from 1 species